rnacentral:rRNA from 1 species
AAUGAACGUUGGCGGCGUGGAUUAGGCAUGCAAGUCGAGCGAGAACCCCGCAAGGGGGGACAGCGGCAAACGGGGUAGUAAUGUGUCGGAACGUGCCCUCGGGACCGGGAUAGCGGCGGGAAACUGCCGGUAAUACCGGAUAAUAUCUUUGGAUCAAAGGUGUGAUUCCGCCCGAGGAUUGGAUCGCGUUCUAUUAGCUUGUUGGCGGGGUAAUGGCCCACCAAGGCGACGAUGGAUACCGGGUGUGAGAGCAUGGCCCGGCUCACUGGGACUGAGACACUGCCCAGACACCUACGGGUGGCUGCAGUCGAGAAUCUUCGGCAAUGGGGGCAACCCUGACCGAGCGACGCCGCGUGCGGGACGAAGGCCUUCGGGUUGUAAACCGCUGUCAGUUGGGAGGAAGUGCCGGGGGGUUCUCCCCUCGGUUUGACCGAUCUUCAGAGGAAGGACGGGCUAAGUUCGUGCCAGCAGCCGCGGUAACAC